GGAGAUUUAGCUGAGCAGCAUAAGCGCCUGCCUUGCAAGCAGGCAGUCAUGAGUUCAAUCCCUG
rfam:Cavia porcellus supercont2_2 genomic scaffold, whole genome shotgun sequence.